AGUUGAUUAUACGGUCGCGUGGCCAAGAGCCAUGAGGAAAGUCCGAGCAUCACAGAGCAGGGCGCCGGAUAACGUCCGGUGGAGGCGACUCCAAGGAAAGUGCAACAGAAACAGACCGCAAGCAAUUGCAAGGAUGGAAAGGGGAGGUAAGAGCUCACCGGCGCUUUGGUAACAGAGCGCGCCGUGUAAACCCCGCCCGAUGCAAGAUUGGGCAGAUGCCGCAAGGGUUGCUCGCCCGGCGUUUGCCGUUAAUAUCGCUAGAACGCACCGGUAACGGUGCGGCCAGAUAGAUGACCGUACACGACAGAACUCGGCUUACAGAUCAA
rnacentral:RNase_P_RNA from 1 species